rnacentral:rRNA from 1 species
UACAUGGGGUGCAAACGUUGCUCGGAAUUAUUGGGCGUAAAGCGCGCGUAGGCGGUUACUCAAGUCGGAUGUGAAAGCCCUCGGCUUAACUGAGGAAGUGCACCCGAAACUGAGUAGCUAGAGUACUAAAGAGGGUCGCGGAAUUCCCGGUGUAGAGGUGAAAUUCGUAGAUAUCGGGAGGAACACCGGGUGGCGAAGGCGGCGCCUGGGGUAGAUACUGACGCUGAGGCGGCGAAAAGCGUGGGGAGCAAACAGG